rnacentral:rRNA from 1 species
GACGAACGCUGGCGGCGUGCUUAACACAUGCAAGUCGAACGGAGAGGCCCUGCUUGCAGGGUACUCGAGUGGCGAACGGGUGAGUAACACGUGGGUGAUCUGCCCUGCACUUCGGGAUAAGCUUGGGAAACUGGGUCUAAUACCGGAUAGGACCGCACUUUAGUGUGUGUGGUGGAAAGUUUUUUCGGUGUAGGAUGAGCUCGCGGCCUAUCAGCUUGUUGGUGGGGUAAUGGCCUACCAAGGCGGCGACGGGUAGCCGGCCUGAGAGGGUGUACGGCCACAGUGGGACUGAGAUACGGCCCAGACUCCUACGGGAGGCAGCAGGGGGGAAUAUUGCACAAUGGGCGCAAGCCUGAUGCAGCGACGCCGCGUGGGGGAUGAAGGCCUUCGGGUUGUAAACUCCUUUCGCUAGGGACGAAGCUUUUUGUGACGGUACCUAGAUAAGAAGCACCGGCUAACUACGUG